AAGGCGUAAACCCGAAAAGCCUGAGAAAGAGUAGGGA
rfam:Arsenicibacter rosenii strain SM-1 scaffold23, whole genome shotgun sequence.